rnacentral:rRNA from 1 species
GUUAAAAAGCUCGUAGUUGGAUUUCUGGGCUGAGCGACCGGUCCGCCGCUGUGCGGUGUGUACUCGGGUGCGACUCGGCUCAUCCUUGCAGGGAACGGCAUUCGGUCUUAACUGGUCGAGGUCGGGAAUUGCAUCGUUUACUGUGAAAAAAUUAGAGUGUUUAAAGCAGGCUUAUGCUGUGAAUACAUUAGCAUGGAAUAAUAAGAUAGGACUUUGGUUCUAUUUUGUUGGUUGGAGGCCAAGGUAAUGAUUAAUAGGGAUAGUUGGGGGUAUUCAUAUUUAAUUGUCAGAGGUGAAAUUCUUGGAUUUGUGAAAGAUGAACUUAUGCGAAAGCAUUUACCAAGGAUGUUUUCAUUAAUCAAGAACGAAAGUUAGGGGAUCGAAGAGGAUUAGAUACCCUCGUAGUCUUAACCAUAAACUAUGCCGACUAGGGAUUGGAGGACGUACUUUUAAUGACUCCUUCAGCACCUUACGAGAAAUCAAAGUCUUUGGGUUCCGGGGGGAGUAUGGUCGCAAGGCUGAAACUUAAAGGAAUUGACGGAAGGGCACCACCAGGAGUGGAGCCUGCGGCUUAAUUUGACUCACCACGGGA